ACAUCCUCAGGACCCGUGCGGGGUCCCUGGCUCUCACCCCGCGGGUACCUGCUCUAGCUGCGGGGCUACCUCCAGCACGGCCGCCGCUUUGAGCUCCGCCAUGAUCGUCGCCGCGUCGGAUCCCCGCCGGGAGAGUGUAGCAGAGUCCGCGUUGGAGCCGAGCUGACGGUGGCCGGGCGGGUGGCCUGGCUGUGGCUGCAGUGGUACCUCCUCCGGAGCCCAGGUCACCGUGCACUGCGCACCUCCCCAGCGUAGUGAGGGACUCCUCACGCUCGGCAUGGGCACGUUCUGCGGGUCCUCCUACAUGAUGAAAGGUCCUGCGUCCCACCACGCCCUGUACUCUCUGCUGGAACCAGAGGUGACUGGGCUGGAGGAGGGUCCGGAACAGAACUUAAGUACGGAAGGACUAACCACAUUCACAAUGGCUGCUCUUCUCUAAGAAUCUCCAGCAAUACACAGCAGGACUGUGAGGCACAGUUCAGAGUCCCAUUGAUAUGUAACUGAAUUGCUGAGAUGGGCCAAUGAGAGCCUUCGAAGUCUCUGCUGUCUGCAGGAGCAGUGGCCACGAAUCUGGCUGAAAUGUGGGGGUACAUGCUAAUGUAUGGGGAGACCAGUCUUAAACCACUGGAGUAGCUGGUAACUUCAACCUGCUGUGGGGAGGACUGGGCCUCCUGAGAAGGAAAUGACAGAGCUCCCUCCAAGGUCGUUGGUCAAAGGAGACAUGACAGAAGACAAAGAAUAGGUACAACAAGAUGUAAAGUUUAUAUACAAAGAAUAUAAUGUUUAUCUGAAAUAUUUACAGUGUCGGUUAAAGCAAUAUUUUUACAACUUUUCCAGGUCAACUACUACGUAUAUUACAGGGCAUCAUGCAAUGAGGAAUGGUUACUGUGUGCUUAUAAACUGAAGUUCUGUAGCUGGGAUGGGAAUGCAUGCAAUGGUCAGAGUUCAUGAGGGCAUAAAAUGAACAACGAAAUGUUUGAAGACUUAGAUGCCGAUUCUCAGGCUGGAACUGAGGAAGACUUUGAGAUAACAGCCAGCUUUAUCUCAACUAAGUCUAGGACCCACAAGCUUAGACCACAGAGGA
rnacentral:lncRNA from 1 species